rnacentral:lncRNA from 1 species
AUGGAAGAGAAAGAGGCCUCAACAACACUAACCCUUGGCCCUGCAACUCCAUGCCCACAAGAGAAAGUUUCAACAGAGCUUGGCCUUGCAACUCCACGCCCACAAGAUGAAGUUUCAACAGAGUUGACUUUGUGGACCACAAAUAAGAAGAAGAGAAAACCAGAGACAGAGUGCCCUGUUCCGAAGAAGAAAACAAACACAAAUUUGGUCUCCUGGGUGAAACCUUGUGAGGCUUGGGAAAUCAAGAAGACACUCACCCCUAGCGAUCUCGAAAACUUGCUAAUUGUGGAAACCAAUUUUAUCGAGAACCAGGUUAUGUCUUUCUUGGGUGACACGUUUUCCAAAAGGGUACUUGAGAGCAAGUAUGGCGCCCGAGUCACAGUUCACGACCGCGAUACAUUUUCGAAGCAUCGAAUGGUUUUAAAGCUGCGCGAUUCGCCUAGGAGGAGUUACAUUUUGGAUGAAGAUUGGCAGGAGGAGUUUGUGAAGAGGAGAGAAUUGAAAGAGGGUGAUGAGAUUGGAGUUGGCUGGUACACACCCUCAAAUGUUCCUUCCAAAGCCAUGUUCACUUUUUCGGUACUUAAACGGGCAGGCCAACCUGCAGCUCUUCAUGAUCAGGAAUCAGUUUAA